GUUUGUAUGUUGCACUGUAUCUUGCACUGUUGAUCAUACACCCCUUUUCCAGGCAGUCUUCCAGUAUAGGCCCUUUUGAAUCCCAAAAAAGGGUUAGCAUCAACUUUUCUGCGGAAGAGUGAGUCUUGAAUUACUUUGUCACUGGUGAGCCAGGAUGUUUCCAC